GGACCACUCAGUGUGCAUAGGGGAAAUGGACCUACAGCUCCUAUUGACUUUCAGCUUAGAAGGAUAGCACUUCUGUAGAAAAGCCUUGAGGACACAUUGCGAGAAAUGAAUAGUUUCCAAUAAGCUGAUUCCUCCGGCCUGUGUUGAAAAACAUGAAGGGGUUCUGUUUAUCUGCACCACCUGGAUUUGAAGAUCAAGGAUCUUCUGAAAGAUGCAGCCUUCUUCCAAAGGUCUUGGUCUUGCUGCUGUAUUCGUGUGGCAGGGUCACAAUGUGAAGAAGUAAAGCAACUCCUGCUGAUCUCCCCACCAUCAGAACUGUGCUACUGCAAUGCCACCGUCCACGCGGUGAGGGGCAUUUUCCUUCCUCU